rnacentral:rRNA from 1 species
CCUUAUGACCUGGGCUACACACGUGCUACAAUGGACGGUACAAAGAGCUGCAAGACCGCGAGGUGGAGCUAAUCUCAUAAAACCGUUCUCAGUUCGGAUUGUAGGCUGCAACUCGCCUACAUGAAGCUGGAAUCGCUAGUAAUCGCGGAUCAGCAUGCCGCGGUGAAUACGUUCCCGGGCCUUGUACACACCGCCCGUCACACCACGAGAGUUUGUAACACCCGAAGUCGGUGGGGUAACCUUUUGGAGCCAGCCGCCUAAGGUGGGACAGAUGAUUGGGGUGAAGUCGUAACAAGGUAGCCGUAUCGGAAGGUGCGGCUGGAUCACCUCCUUUCUAUGGAGA